rnacentral:rRNA from 1 species
GGACGAACGCUGGCGGCGCGCCUAACACAUGCAAGUCGAACGAAGCACUUCGGUGCUUAGGUGGCGGACGGGUGAGUAACACGUGAGCAACCUGCCUCAUAGAGGGGAAUAACACCGGGAAACUGGUACUAAUACCGCAUGAGACCACAGAGUCGCAUGGCUUAGGGGUCAAAGAUUUAUUGGUAGAGGGUGGGCUCGCGUCUGAUUAGGUAGUUGGUGAGGUAACGGCCCACCAAGCCGACGAUCAGUAGCCGACCUGAGAGGGUGAUCGGCCACAUUGGGACUGAGACACGGCCCAAACUCCUACGGGAGGCAGCAGUGGGGAAUAUUGCACAAUGGGGGAAACCCUGAUGCAGCAACGCCGCGUGAGUGAAGAAGUAUUUCGGUAUGUAAAGCUCUAUCAGCAGGGAAGAAAAAGACGGUACCUGACUAAGAAGCACCGGCUAAAUACGUG